rnacentral:rRNA from 1 species
CCUACGGGGGGCUGCAGUGAGGAAUAUUGGUCAAUGGGAGAGAUCCUGAACCAGCCAAGCCGCGUGAGGGAAGACGGCCCUAUGGGUUGUAAACCUCUUUUGUCGGAGAACAAAACCCGGGACGUGUCCCGGACUGCGUGUAUCCGAAGAAAAAGCAUCGGCUAACUCCGUGACAGCAGCCGCGGUAAUACGGAGGAUGCGAGCGUUAUCCGGAUUUAUGGGGGUUAAAGGGUGCGUAGGCGGUCCGUUAAGUCAGCGGUAAAAGUGCGGGGCUCAACCCCGUCGAGCCGUUGAAACUGGCAGACUUGAGUUGGCGAGAGGUACGCGGAAUGCGCGGUGUAGCGGUGAAAUGCAUAGAUAUCGCGCAGAACUCCGAUUGCGAAGGCAGCGUACCGGCGCCAGACUGACGCUGAGGCACGAAAGCGUGGGGAUCGAACAGGAUUAGAUACCCUUGUAGUC